GCUUGUUGGUGAGGUAAUGGCUCACCAAGGCGACGAUCAGUAGCGGGUCUGAGAGGAUGAUCCGCCACACUGGAGCUGAGACACGGUCCAGACUCCUACGGGAGGCAGCAGUGGGGAAUUUUGGACAAUGGGGGAAACCCUGAUCCAGCCAUUCCGCGUGAGUGAAGAUGGCCUUCGGGUUGUAAAGCUCUUUCAGCCGGAACGAAACGGUACGCUCUAACAUAGCGUGCUAAUGACGGUACCGGCAGAAGAAGCACCGGCUAACUACGUGCCAGCAGCCGCGGUAAUACGUAGGGUGCGAGCGUUAAUCGGAAUUACUGGGCGUAAAGCGUGCGCAGGCGGAUUGUUAAGCAAGAUGUGAAAUCCCCGGGCUUAACCUGGGAAUGGCAUUUUGAACUGGCAGUCUAGAGUGUGUCAGAGGGGGGUGGAAUUCCACGUGUAGCAGUGAAAUGCGUAGAUAUGUGGAGGAACACCAAUGGCGAAGGCAGCCCCCUGGGAUAACACUGACGCUCAUGUACGAAAGCGUGGGUAGCAAACAGGAUUAGAUACCCUGGUAGUCCACGCCCUAAACGAUGUCAACUGGUUGUUGGGGGAGUGAAAUCCCUUAGUAACGAAGCUAACGCGUGAAGUUGACCGCCUGGGGAGUACGGUCGCAAGAUUAAAACUCAAAGGAAUUGACGGGGACCCGCACAAGCGGUGGAUGAUGUGGAUUAAUUCGAUGCAACGCGAAAAUCCUUACCUACCCUUGACAUGUCCAGAACCCUGCAGAGAUGCGGGGGUGCCCGAAAGGGAAUUGGAACACAGGUGCUGCAUGGCUGUCGUCAGCUCGUGUCGUGAGAUGUUGGGUUAAGUCCCGCAACGAGCGCAACCCUUAUCAUUAGUUGCUACGCAAGGGCACUCUAAUGAGACUGCCGGUGACAAACCGGAGGAAGGUGGGGAUGACGUCAAGUCCUCAUGGCCCUUAUGGGUAGGGCUUCACACGUCAUACAAUGGUCGGUACAGAGGGUUGCCAAGCCGCGAGGUGGAGCCAAUCCCAGAAAGCCGAUCGUAGUCCGGAUUGUUCUCUGCAACUCGAGAGCAUGAAGUCGGAAUCGCUAGUAAUCGCGGAUCAGCAUGUCGCGGUGAAUACGUUCCCGGGUCUUGUACACACCGCCCGUCACACCAUGGGAGUGGAAUCUGCCAGAAGUAGGUAGCCUAACCGCAAGGAGGGCGCUUACCACGGUGGGUUUCAUGACUGGGGUGAAGUCGGAACAAGGUA
rnacentral:rRNA from 1 species